UAUUCACUCGUGAGCUUCACU
rnacentral:piRNA from 1 species